GGAGACGCACAACCAGUGGAGCAUGUGGUUUAAUUCGAAACGAACCGAAGAACCUUACCUGGUCUUGACAUGUUUUUCUUAAUGCUCACUUAGAAAUAAGAGAGAACCGUGAUUUAUCAUGGAGGAAUUCACAGGUGUUGCAUGGCCGUCGUCAGCUCGUGCCGUAGGGUGUUCCCUUAAGUGGGGUAACGAGCGCAACCCCCGUCCCAAGUUAAAUAUCCUUGGGAGACAACCUUAAGUUUUUAAGGAGGAAGCGGGGACGACGUCAGGUCCGCAUGGCCCUUAUGACCAGGGCUACACACAUGCUACAAUGAGGAUGACAAUGGGUUGCCAAGCUGAAAAGUGGAGCUAAUCCCAUCAAACAUUCUCUCAGUGGGGAUUGGAGGCUGCAAUUCGCCUCCAUGAACGAGGAAUUGGUAGUAA
rnacentral:rRNA from 1 species